CGGUAAAGCGGUAAAGGUUUGUUUUUAUUGCUAGCGAAAUGUCGACUGUUGGAAUUUGCAAAAGAAAAUUUACGGAGUUUCUCUUUUAAUGAAACAGAGAAAACAAUUUCGGGUUAUUUGGACGGUCAUGUAACAUAUGACAAUUUUUCUUUAGGUCUGAAAAUUUUAGGAUAUUGUUUUCAGUUCGUGAAAGUAGAGUUCAUGACACGGCAGAUGAAGAAAUUCCAAACAAAAUAUUUUUUUUUUUUCAAUAUAGCUAUGGGAACCUGGGACCUGCUAUUAUUUCGGGGAACCUUUCACUAUAGAGAAGAAGACAAAUAUGCAAUGUUCCCAAGGUCCAAAGUUAGUAUUUUGAUUCAAAACAAUGUUGAUCAACUGGUAAGUUAUGUGAAUUUUUUUUAAUUGAUACUUAAAUUGUUUUUUUUUUAUGAGAAAAAUCCAGCAUUUUGUAUUUAGGUGGAUUCCAGAUAAUCUGAAAACUUUUGAUAAUUAGCAAAGUUUUAUUCUCUCAGGGAAAAAGUUAAAACACAAAACUACUUGAUCUGAUGUGUAAAUUGUAGGACAUGUAUACGUUUAAUUGUUAGCAGUUAUUGAUAAGUAAGAUUGUGAUAAUUGUAGUCAAAAAUUGUCUGAUUUGUUGCAAUGUACUGUACUGCUCAAUAAAUUUAUAUUUUUGUUUGUUCAUUGUAGUACUAAUUGUUAGGGGACUGCAUUUUAAGGGUGCCGUCUGGACGAUGGAAGGAAGCUACUCUAGACAUUUACCUUUAUAUCUCUCCUUUAGAAAGAACUUGAGAUUUUCAAUUUUUGUUUGGGCAGGAAAGGAAUAAAAAUAAAAAGUACAUUCCACGUUGGUCUGGUGGAUUUACGUUGUCUCAUACCCACCUUAACACUUUUGCGACCCCGCCAAUAUCAAUGGUUGCAUUGUCCUUUUAAUUCAUUCUUGUUACCAACACUUAAAAACAUACAUUCCCUUGUAUAGUCCUAAACAAUUGCAGCACUCAGUUCUUUUUAUAACAAUUUGCUGUUCUGAUCAAUUUUCUAAAGAUGAGUAAAAUUGAAUGUCCCUUCAAUUCCCCAACUUAAUUGUUGCAGGUAAAAACCAGGGAAAGAGGCCAUGUGGGGUGAUUGUUGCACAAAAAUUUGUGGUCAUCGAGGGUCAAAUGUAGACGCUCGAGGUUGAAAAAUAUUUAAAUAACAUAGCAUGAUUUGCGGCCGACCUGGGCCAGCAAGUAUUAAGUUGUCUCGAAACUACAGUAAGUCCUCUAUUUACGUCGUUUCGGAUUAACGUCGCUAAUGUUUGAGUACUCAUGUUUCAAUUUAAGUUGUCGCCGAUUCACAAUAACGUCGUUUACAAUGACCGUAAAUCUUUAUUUUAACCAAAACACCGUAUAUAAUUCGUUUAUAAUUCUUUGUUUCCUUCGGUAGUUAAUUUAUGCUAUGUAGCGUAAGCUACACGUUCACCGCCUUAUCUUAUCAUACAUCAUGAGGGACGCUUCCUGCUCUCCGCUGCUCUCAGCGCGGUGAUGCAAUACUACCAGCCCGCCCGCUCGGCCACCCACGUAUCUCGCACGUAGAAGUGUUAUCUACUUCCUGCAACGACACAGCAUUUUCUCGUACCCCUUCCGGCCGACCUUGGGCCGUGGCCGGCCGGUGGCAUGAAACAUGGCUCAUUUUGCGUUGUUUCUAUUUACGUCGCGGUUUUCAGGAACGUCACUCCGACGUAAACCGAGGACUUACUGUACAUUGCUUUUGACAAGUUGCCGCGAGAAACAACUGGUCAGGAAAGCAUCUAGUGAUACGCUAGUUGGACAGCGCAGCUACCUUCCUUUUCCAAAGUACAACAGAGCGAGGCAGUCCCAUGGGUCAACCGACAAAUCACAACAAACAUUAGAAAGGAAAUAUACCAGGCCUUUGAGCUUCAAGGCCACCUUGACAAAUAUAAUUAUUGUCCCAUGAGUUUCUGGAGCAACACAUCACACCAGGGCAUAGUUCGUCCUCUGCUGUUCAGAAUAGUACGCUGUGAACACGUGACUUGACACAAUUUCUUAGCUGUGCAGUCACGCGACUACAUGCAGGAUUCUCCCAUUAACAAUUACGAGAAAAUAACUACUCUCACGCAAGGGCCAGAUUGUUGUGGUCCUCAUCUUUCUUUAUUUCCAAGGCUAAGAAACUGCUCAUAAUGUGCUAGAAGCAAUAACACCUGAUGCUAUGUGUUUAAAUACCACAUGAGUACAUCAUCCAUAUAAAAUAAUCAAAAGUAAACCACUUUUAAAUAUUUGGUCACUGAAUCCAAAACAUGUAAAAAAUUACCCAUAUUUCUUUAGUAAUAAAAGGCUGAAAUAUUCCCAACAAAAAAAAAUUACACAUUGCAUGGAUCAGAUAGUAAAUGUUUCAUUUUGUCAAAAUAAGAACAAAUAGUUGAGGUUAGAUCAUCAGGUCAUAUAAUUUAAUGGUUUUGACAGAUAAAAUGACAGUUUGUUACAUAAAUUAAUAAAAUAUUGUUUUAUACUUUUACUGUGUCCAACAGUUGGUUAGGUUAGUUAUGUUAUAUGUGAAAUAAAAUAAAUUCACAUAAAAAAUUGGUUUAAAAUAUUAAAAAAUACUGCAAAAUAUAAAGAAAAAAUAAUUGGGCCAUGUUAGUGACAUUUAAAACACCGAACCCAUUUUGCAGGAUAAUCAAGGAACAGUAGCUCAAAAUUAUCAAUUUUUGAAUUUUCGUUUAUGUGGAAAAGCCACAGUUUGCAGAAUUACCUUUUAUUAUUCACGAAAGGUAAGUUUAUUUAAUGUGACUACUUUUUUUCAUAGUUUAAAAUAUAAAAUCUGCUCCAUCCGACUUCCCAGAGUGGGCACAACCGCCCACCUGCACAUUUGUAUUUAUUAAAAACAAAUGAUGUUGGUAGACGUAUUUAGUUAUGAGUGGUUUCUACCAGAAAUGUUAGUUUUAAAAGCUAUGUUGCUAACAAUCUAAAUGUAACUAGCACUUUACAGUUCAGUUACCUGAUUAACUCAGUUCUAGUAUCUCCGAAUUUUAACUUCAAUGCAGAUAACUGCUACCACAGCACUAAAGAAAAUUUUGUAUAGCGAUUUUGUAAGCUGUGCUCUGGGAACAUAUGCCGAAUCUACAUCAUCUGGAAAAAAAAUUACAGGUACCUAGCUUCAUUAAAUUACUACACACAUUUUAAAUGAUAAAAUAAUCAAGAAAUGUACAAAUGCAGGAAAAAUUCACAACUACACCUAACCAACAAUCCUCAACCAGUGCUCAAGCUAUACAAAAAUCUUUUUGUCUCUUUAUCACUACGUACUGAAUUAAAUUUCGCAAAAAAAGACAAAAUAUAUUACUACAAUUACUGUUUUUCGCACAUCACACAAGUGAAUUUUUUACGGUGCUUAGUUUAAAAUUUAUUUUAUAAUGUCUGAAAGAUCUGUACUAUUAGUUAGAAUGGUAAUCUCACAAAUGAGCAUAAAACAACGCACAGUUACUUAUCUGCUAAAAUUCAGCAGCGUAAAAAAAAAUUAAUUUAAUACAGUACUGACACCGGUACAGCUGCCUCUCCGUCAAAGCUAUCAAGUUUUUGCGAAAUGGGUCUCGGGGUUUGGGCUCGGCCAAGUGGCGGGAGGCAGGGGCGUGUCCGUAGAGGCGAUCCUUGGGCUGUUCAGGCCACCCGCGAUGCCUUACACUACAAAUGAUACACUCCGCUAUGUGAAGUGUGUUUUUUUAUUACAUAUCAACCUUUACAUGGCGCUAUCCAUCCCCUGGCCGCAGGUGUUCGAGGUUGGUGAGCUCUACGCGUGCACGGCUGUUCAGUGAUGACCCCGCUUAUAAUGGCGUGAGGGGGAGUUUGAUGGAGAACAGUAUGUGGCAGACGUUGCUGCUGUGAUGGCGCUAGGCGCGCGACAGCUUUUAAGACCUGCGCGGUGACGCACGGCCGGUGGGGGUCAUAACUCACGCUCUAGAUGAGGCUGCGGAAUUGGCGCGAAGUUGACCUCUCAACGUUGCGCGUAGACGACCAGUCUCUGAGCUCCCGAUGGAUACUGCUGACUCGGUGUAGCGCGGCGCUACAGCGGGCCUGCUAAUUGCGUGUCAAAAGCGCAGCGUGCGGGGAACAGACGCGGCCAAGUUUAGGACAUAGUCGCACGUUGAACAAUUACAUUAAUAAGUAAAAACGUUUGAAGAAUUAUAUAUUACUUAGUUUAUGUCUGUGGGAGAAAAAAAACAUGUGCCCUUGAAUGCUAUAGUCCGGCGGUAGCACAUUGCCACACCCGGCGGAGUGAUUCCGCCGAUGUGGCCGGUGGGUAACCUAAGAUUCACAGACAUGGGACGACAUUCUGUUCGGGUGGAGUCGUGCAUCUUCGGUUUUUUUUUUUAUUGAAGUUCAUCACGUAUAGAUAAUAAAUAAACAGACAACAGUUGGGUAAGCAAAAGAUUUGUAUUCUAUCCAUUGUUGUAGAAUAUUCAUAAAUUGUGGGAAGAUUUAGUUAUUAUUACUUGAAGCAACUUCCAGGUAAGGAAAUAUGGUAUUUCUGGUCAAGUUUGUGCUGUUUAUAGUUCCCGCAUUAAUUUAAUUAAUUUUUUUGCGGCAAUUACAAAUUUAAAAAAAAAUAUUUCUAGUUUAUUUUUUAAGAGAUUAAAAUUUAAAGUAAGUUUCGGCACAGAUAUCAGAAUUAUUCAGGUGAGUGGACCUGUGUUAAGUCCCCGAACAGAUCAUUAUUAGCAUUGUACUUAUACAACAACGUAUUAUUUAUUUAUUUAUUUAUUUGCACCCAAUAGAUUCAAUUUUUGAACAGUAUGUUCACAGAAUAUAGGGCUUGUCAGUUUGAUAUACAUUACAAUAAGUAAAUAACACUUAAAACAUAUACAAUAUAUACAUGACUUAUAGACAGUAUCAUAUAGGUACAUAGGUAGAAAUACAUAUAAAAAAAUGUAGAUAAAACUGCCUAUUUCAUACCUACUUGCAAUGUUUGAUAAACACAAUGCCUGAAGUUCGUGCUUUGCGCAGGAUACAAUGUUGCUUGUAUCACACCUGAAAUUGGCUGAAGUUAAUUGCUGAAAAGUGUUAAUGCUGGAAUAAUGUUGUUACUGCUUACAAGAUUAAAUAGGUUUUCAGUUGUUAGUGUGAGAACCAUAUUCACCACAAAAUGAAUGUCGUAUAUUUUUUGUCGUAAAUAAAUUUUAAAGAAUUAUUUUACAGAAAUUGUUAUGUAUGUGAAAGGAUUAAAUUAUAAACAUCCUAAUAUGUAGUGUUUGUAAAUAUUGUCAUUCUUAUUUUAUUCUUGUCUCUAAUUUCACGUGAAACAAUCAACCUUGGUGAAUAUACUGUAAUCAAGUUUUCUUGUUGCAGGCAUAUGAAGAAAUGAACAUUAGCUUUCCAUCAACUCCAGUGGAUGGCACAUGUAUAUUGGCAAGGAUUUUAUCAAUCUUAUUUGUAACUGAUUGCAUUGAGUGUUGUUUAAGAACAAUUGAUGUACAUUAAAAUGUAAAAAAAUACCUCCUUAAAAUAAAAAUUGUUUCUCAAAAUAAUUGAAUGUGUGAUCUUCCAAUGUUAUUUUUCAGUAGCAUGAAUGUCAAAAUAACUCUGAUGCUCUCAGUGAAAGAACCUUGUCAAAUAUACGUAGGCUUAAGUUACAGAAUUGUUGAAGGUGACUGAUGCUAUAAAGCAGAUGAAGAAAUGUGACAGUGAAUAAAUUUCUCUUGGGCAGAA